GGUGAGAUGGCCGAGUUGGUUAUGGCGCCAGGUUAAGGUCACACCUUAAUACAAUACUGAAUUCCUGGUGGAGCAAUCCGCGUGGGUUCAAGUCCCACUCUCAUCA
rnacentral:tRNA from 1 species